rnacentral:rRNA from 1 species
AUGCAUCACACACCUCAUGUGGAUCUAGCUUUCAACAGCGUAGAACACAUUAUGAGAGAUGUUGAAGGGGGCUGGUUGCUCCGUUAUAUGCAUGCUAAUGGGGCAAGUAUGUUUCUCAUUGUGGUUCACCUUCAUAUUUUUCGUGGUCUAUAUCAUGCGAGUUAUAGCAGUCCUAGGGAAUUUGUUCGGUGUCUCGGAGUUGUCAUAUUCCUAUUAAUGAUUGUGACAGCUUUUAUAGGAUACGUACCACCUUGGGGUCAGAUGAGCUUUUGGGGAGCAACAGUAAUUACAAGCUUAGCUAGCGCCAUACCAGUAGUAGGAGAUACCAUAGUGACUUGGCUUUGGGGUGGUUUCUCCGUGGACAAUGCCACCUUAAAUCGUUUUUUUAGUCUCCAUCAUUUACUCCCCCUUAUUUUAGUAGGCGCCAGUCUUCUUCAUCUGGCCGCAUUGCAUCAAUAUGGAUCAAAUAAUCCAUUGGGUGUACAUUCUGAGAUGGAUAAAAUUGCUUCUUACCCUUAUUUUUAUGUAAAGGAUCUUGUAGGUCGGGUAGCUUCUGCUAUCUUUUUUUCCAUUUGGAUUUUUUUUGCUCCUAAUGUUUUGGGGCAUCCUGACAAUUAUAUACCUGCUAAUCCGAUGCCCACCCCGCCUCAUAUUGUGCCGGAAUGGUAUUUCCUACCGAUCCAUGCCAUUCUUCGUAGUAUACCUGACAAAGCGGGAGGUGUAGCCGCAAUAGCACCAGUUUUUAUAUCUCUCUUGGCUUUACCUUUUUUUUAA